UCGCCUCAGCGGCUCCGAACCGCCCCCGGUAACGGAGGGCGGUAACGGCGCGGGGGAGGAAAAGCCGCAGUUGCCCCGCCGCCCGCGAAGGGUCAGGCUCGCCCCCUUCCUUCCUUCUCUAGCAGCCCGUUCCCCCCCGGCCGGCCCAGGCCGCUGUCGCCGUCACGGCUCGUGCUCCCCCGCGCCCGCCGCUGCCUCCGCUCGCUCCGGUCGCACAGCGGCGGCGGCGGCUCUAAUGUAACUCGGGGGCCGCCCGGCGCUCUCUCGCCGCCGCGGCAUGUGGACGCCGCUCAUUGGCGGCGCCGGGGCGCGGGGCGGGCAGGCUGGCGGCCCCGCCCGUGGGGCGGAGGCGAUGGCUGCGGCGCGGCCCCUGCGCAGCUCCGUCCCAGUGUCGUUCGUGCUCCCGCCCGGGGCCCGGCGGCGGCCGUGCCUCACGCCGCGGUGCAGCCGCUUCGGCUGCGCACGGGGACAGCCCCGCAGGAGCGGUGGUCGCUUUCCCGCCGCUGCUGCCCCGGCGGGAACCGCCCCUGUCCCGGCCUCAGCCCGCGGUGAGGGGGAGCGGGGCGGCCUGAGGGGAGCUGCCCGCCAUUGGGGUCUUGGCGCGGGGCUGCACCGGCGUGUGUCGCGACAGGAGCGCCAGCCGUCCUGUGGGCACUGCCCUCGCCCUGUCGUGAUAGCAGCCUCAUCCAGUCCAGGGGUGAGUGUGGGGUUGGCCCCCGCCCCAGGAGCAUCAUCCGGUCAAAGGGUGACUGUGAGGCUGGCGCGCUCUGUCGCCACAGGAGCAUCAUCCGGUCAGAGCGUGAGGGGAAGGCCGUGGAUUCUCCCUCUCUGGAGACAUUCCAAACCCACCUGGGCACAUUCCUGUGUCACCCUGCCUUGGCAGAGGGUUGGACUGGGUGAUCUCGGGGGUCCCUUCCAACCCUAAAGACUGUGAUUCUGUGGGGCUGCACCGGGCUCUGUCGCGACAGGAGCCUCACGCAUCGCGAGUGUGCAGAGGUGAGGGCCGGGGUCACUCCCCCCAGGUCGUGCCCUGCGCUGGCACGGAGCAGUGUCCCCAGCUGCCGUCGCACACAUGCCGGUGACAGCACACUCAGCCCCGGCGAUAACGUGAGGGGGAAUGAACUGCGCGCUGUGAUUCCAGCGCGGGUGUGCGGUGAGGGACCGGCUUUCCUCAGCACCGUGUCAGGCACAGGAGCCGAUAGAGAGCACCGAAAAUUGACUGAUCCACCCAAUCCCACCCGGGAACUUCAGUGAACACAGAGAGAAAUCACUGCCAGGUGACAUUAAUACACCUGCAACACACACGCAGAGCACAGCGAGCAGAUCGGCAUAAACACCUUGAAAACUUGGUUCCAAGCGAUGUUCCUGUGUACAUAUGCCCGUGCAAAUACCAAAGCUGAUCCCUACAUGUGUGCUGGCUUACAUAAACGCAGAUCCUACCUACAAUCUGCAUUUCCACCACUUACAAACCACCCACAGCACCACGCUAUAAGAAGCUGCAUGUCUGAUCUGGAAUGAAAUAUCUCAGUCUUACCUCUGUGCUAGGAAAGGGAUGGAGAGGGGACAGCCCAUGUAAAAUUAUGGUGUUCUACGGCACUGUGUGUUCCUGUGUCAGCAGCAGGUAGAAUUUGACUUCCACGGAGACUGAGAGACUGUGAACACAAAGAAUGGUGUUGCUGCUGGGGGAUUUCUGGAACUGGAUCUCUGCUCCUGCACAAAGCAGCUCCUUGCUGCCUUGGAAGUGUAAAGAGGCAGCCAGACAGAGUCUGCUCUCAGUGACAGUAACUAUGAGAGAUCACAGUUUGGCUUGAGCUCUUGCCCAGUGCCGUGAGCAGUUCCACCAUGGCUUCUGCCAUUCCAUGUAUUUGCUGAAUCACAAGAAGUCACACUCUCUGACUUUUCAAGAUUGAAAGGAAGACAUGUAGGUGCACUCCAUGUAGGUUUAAAAGAAAAACAUCAGCAUUGGAAAACAACAAUAUUCCAUCCUUCUACCACCAUCCCACUGCAACCUCUGGGUGUGAUCCCAGGAGUCUCCUGAGUGGAUUUCCCCAGUGCUGGGGCCUGAGCAGUGAUCCCGUGUGUCUUUUGUCAUGUGGCACAAAGCUACAGGUGUCAGCAAGAGGACUGCAAGGAAUGAAUCCUGUUCCCUGAAAUGCAGCUGGAGGACGAGGGCAGCUCAGGCCACCCCAGGCCUCAGGAGAUUGAUAGUGCUGGCAGCUGAGGAUCUAAUUAUGGAUUAUUUGGGUCGGACUCUUAUCCCAGUGUGCUAUAAAUCUGAUGAUGGGCCCUUUAAUUCCUGCUUGUUCUGUCAGGAUGAAGAACAGAGCUAAAUCCAGCAGACCUUGUUUUGGCAAAACUCCCACUGAAGUCAGGGCUUGUGAAAGUCAGGUCCAUGUGAUCUUCCUUGUAACUCCAAGGACAGCUGAAAUCAACACCACUAAAUCCCCCAAAGCUGCAGAAUAUUACAGCAGUUUUAUAGCUGGGAUGCCUCCUCAUCCACUUCUGGAAAGGGAUAAGGAGAAGCCUUUGGAAAGUGAGCUGCUGCUCAUGUGACUGCUCAGAUUGGUGUUCCAGCUGGGACAAAUUUGGUCACCCUGAGGGGAGAGAAUCCUGCCCAGGGCAGAGAGCCCUGCCCAGGGCAGAGAGCCCUGCCCGCUCACCGAACCGCCCUGCGCCGCUCCUGCGGCUCUGGGGACACGUAGGCCUUCAUUUCCUCCCUGGCACGCUGCAGCUGGACCUCCAGGCUCUGUGAAGAAAUACACCAUUAAAUACAUCUAUGGGUGUGUAUAUUGUAAUUGCCAUUUCAUUUCACAGUGAACAGUUGGUGCUCUCACCCUUUUCAUGCAGUUAAUGUAACGGUAGUUGCUCUCUUCCUGGGCACGCUCCUCAAGAAGCCC